UACGGAAGGCAGCAGUGGGGAAUAUUGCACAAUGGGCGCAAGCCUGAUGCAGCCAUGCCGCGUGUAUGAAAAAGGCCUUCGGGUUGUAAAGUACUUUCAGUCGUGAGGAAGGUGUUAAGGUUAAUAACCUUAGCAAUUGACGUUAGCGACAGAAGAAGCACCGGCUAACUCCGUGCCAGCAGCCGCGGUAAUACGGAGGGUGCGAGCGUUAAUCGGAAUUACUGGGCGUAAAGGGCACGCAGGCGGUUAAUUAAGUUGGAUGUGAAAUCCCCGGGCUUAACCUGGGAAUGGCAUUCAAGACUGGUUAGCUAGAGUCUUGUAGAGGGGGUAGAAUUCCAUGUGUAGCGGUGAAAUGCGUAGAGAUGUGGAGGAAUACCGGUGGCGAAGGCGGCCCCUGGACAAAGACUGACGCUCAUGUGCGAAAGCGUGGGGAGCAAAACAGGGAUUAGAUACC
rnacentral:rRNA from 1 species